rnacentral:lncRNA from 1 species
UGUAAAUUACAACUAAAGACAACUGACUCUUCAUCUGACAUCAGCCUCAGCUUCUUUACCUGCACUUUAGCCUUGAAGAAUCUUGCCACCCAGUUUGGUAGGUUCUCCCCUCUUUCACUCAAAGGGCACGUCAGUUCUCUUUGAGGAAGUG